rnacentral:rRNA from 1 species
AUGCAAGUCGAGCGGUACAGAUCCAGCUUGCUGGAUGCUGACGAGCGGCGGACGGGUGAGUAAUGCAUAGGAAUCUGCCCGAUAGUGGGGGAUAACCUGGGGAAACCCAGGCUAAUACCGCAUACGUCCUACGGGAGAAAGGGGGCUUCGGCUCCCGCUAUCGGAUGAGCCUAUGUCGGAUUAGCUAGUUGGUGAGGUAAAGGCUCACCAAGGCAACGAUCCGUAGCUGGUCUGAGAGGAUGAUCAGCCACAUCGGGACUGAGACACGGCCCGAACUCCUACGGGAGGCAGCAGUGGGGAAUAUUGGACAAUGGGGGCAACCCUGAUCCAGCCAUGCCGCGUGUGUGAAGAAGGCCCUCGGGUUGUAAAGCACUUUCAGCGAGGAAGAACGCCUAGUGGUUAAUACCCGCUAGGAAAGACAUCACUCGCAGAAGAAGCACCGGCUAACUCCGUGCCAGCAGCCGCGGUAAUACGGAGGGUGCAAGCGUUAAUCGGAAUUACUGGGCGUAAAGCGCGCGUAGGUGGCUUGAUAAGCCGGUUGUGAAAGCCCCGGGCUCAACCUGGGAACGGCAUCCGGAACUGUCAAGCUAGAGUGCAGGAGAGGAAGGUAGAAUUCCCGGUGUAGCGGUGAAAUGCGUAGAGAUCGGGAGGAAUACCAGUGGCGAAGGCGGCCUUCUGGACUGACACUGACACUGAGGUGCGAAAGCGUGGGUAGCAAACAGGAUUAGAUACCCUGGUAGUCCACGCCGUAAACGAUGUCGACCAGCCGUUGGGUGCCUAGCGCACUUUGUGGCGAAGUUAACGCGAUAAGUCGACCGCCUGGGGAGUACGGCCGCAAGGUUAAAACUCAAAUGAAUUGACGGGGGCCCGCACAAGCGGUGGAGCAUGUGGUUUAAUUCGAUGCAACGCGAAGAACCUUACCUACUCUUGACAUCCUGCGAAUUCGGUAGAGAUACCUUAGUGCCUUCGGGAACGCAGAGACAGGUGCUGCAUGGCUGUCGUCAGCUCGUGUUGUGAAAUGUUGGGUUAAGUCCCGUAACGAGCGCAACCCUUGUCCUUAUUUGCCAGCGCGUAAUGGCGGGAACUCUAAGGGAAACUGCCGGUGACAACCCGGAGGAAAGGUGGGGACGACGUCAAGU